rnacentral:rRNA from 1 species
AUUGAACGCUGGCGGCAGGCCUAACACAUGCAAGUCGAGCGGAUGAAGGGAGCUUGCUCCUGGAUUCAGCGGCGGACGGGUGAGUAAUGCCUAGGAAUCUGCCUGGUAGUGGGGGAUAACGUCCGGAAACGGGCGCUAAUACCGCAUACGUCCUGAUGGAGAAAGUGGUGGAUCUUCGGACCUCACGCUAUCAGAUGAGCCUAGGACGGAUUAGCUAGUUGGUGGGGUAAAGGCCUACCAAGGCGACGAUCCGUAACUGGGCUGAGAGGAUGAUCAGUCACACUGGAACUGAGACACGGUCCAGACUCCUACGGGAGGCAGCAGUGGGGAAUAUUGCACAAUGGGCGAAAGCCUGAUCCAGCCAUGCCGCGUGUGUGAAGAAGGUCUUCGGAUUGUAAAGCUCUUUAAGUUGGGGGGAAGGGCAGUAAGUUAAUACCUUGCUGUUUUGACGUUACCAACAGAAUAAGCACCGGCUAACUUCGUG